GGCGAAAGGGUGCGUAACACGUAGCUAUCUACCUUGAAAUGGGGGAUAACGCCGAGAAAUCGGUGCUAAUACCGCAUGUGACCGUAAGGUUAAAGCUGGGGCUCGUAAGACCUAGCGUUUCAAGAUGAGGCUGCGGCCUAUCAGGUAGUUGGCGGGGUAAUGGCCCACCAAGCCUAAGACGGGUAGCUGGUCUGAGGGGACGACCAGCCACACUGGAACUGAGACACGGUCCAGACGCCUACGGGUGGCAGCAGUCGAGGAUUUUUCUCAAUGGGGGAAACCCUGAAGGAGCGACGCCGCGUGGGGGAUGAAGGUCUUCGGAUUGUAAACCCCUGUCAUCCGGGAUCAAUGCGUAUCACCUAACACGUGAUACGUUGCUAGUACCGGAAGAGGAAGCAGUGGCUAACUCUGUGCCAGCAGCCGCGGUAAUACAGAGACUGCAAGCGUUGUUCGGAUUCAUUGGGCGUAAAGGGUGCGCAGGCGGUCCGGUAAGUCGGAUGUGAAAUCUCGAGGCUUAACCUCUAUAGGUCAUUCGAAACUGCCGGACUCGAGGACUGGAGAGGAGACU
rnacentral:rRNA from 1 species